UCUCCGUUGGUGAACCGGCGGAGGGAUCAUUACUGGAAUCGCAAGAUCCCACAACCCCUGUGAACCUACCGAAACGUUGCCUCGGCGGGCGCCCGGCCCCGCGCCGGGCGCUGAGCCCGCCGGCGGCCCCCUACUCUUGUCUCUGCAGCGUAGCAUCUCAGAGUCCCAGAAAACAAGUAAAAACUUUCAACAACGGAUCUCUUGGCUCUA
rnacentral:misc_RNA from 1 species